rnacentral:rRNA from 1 species
CUUAAAUUGAAGAGUUUGAUCAUGGCUCAGAUUGAACGCUGGCGGCAGGCCUAACACAUGCAAGUCGAGCGGUAGCACAGAGAGCUUGCUCUCGGGUGACGAGCGGCGGACGGGUGAGUAAUGUCUGGGAAACUGCCUGAUGGAGGGGGAUAACUACUGGAAACGGUAGCUAAUACCGCAUAACGUCGCAAGACCAAAGUGGGGGACCUUCGGGCCUCAUGCCAUCAGAUGUGCCCAGAUGGGAUUAGCUAGUAGGUGGGGUAACGGCUCACCUAGGCGACGAUCCCUAGCUGGUCUGAGAGGAUGACCAGCCACACUGGAACUGAGACACGGUCCAGACUCCUACGGGAGGCAGCAGUGGGGAAUAUUGCACAAUGGGCGCAAGCCUGAUGCAGCCAUGCCGCGUGUGUGAAGAAGGCCUUCGGGUUGUAAAGCACUUUCAGCGGGGAGGAAGGCGAUAAGGUUAAUAACCUUGUCGAUUGACGUUACCCGCAGAAGAAGCACCGGCUAACUCCGUGCCAGCAGCCGCGGUAAUACGGAGGGUGCAAGCGUUAAUCGGAAUUACUGGGCGUAAAGCGCACGCAGGCGGUCUGUCAAGUCGGAUGUGAAAUCCCCGGGCUCAACCUGGGAACUGCAUUCGAAACUGGCAGGCUAGAGUCUUGUAGAGGGGGGUAGAAUUCCAGGUGUAGCGGUGAAAUGCGUAGAGAUCUGGAGGAAUACCGGUGGCGAAGGCGGCCCCCUGGACAAAGACUGACGCUCAGGUGCGAAAGCGUGGGGAGCAAACAGGAUUAGAUACCCUGGUAGUCCACGCUGUAAACGAUGUCGAUUUGGAGGUUGUGCCCUUGAGGCGUGGCUUCCGGAGCUAACGCGUUAAAUCGACCGCCUGGGGAGUACGGCCGCAAGGUUAAAACUCAAAUGAAUUGACGGGGGCCCGCACAAGCGGUGGAGCAUGUGGUUUAAUUCGAUGCAACGCGAAGAACCUUACCUGGUCUUGACAUCCACAGAACUUAGCAGAGAUGCUUUGGUGCCUUCGGGAACUGUGAGACAGGUGCUGCAUGGCUGUCGUCAGCUCGUGUUGUGAAAUGUUGGGUUAAGUCCCGCAACGAGCGCAACCCUUAUCCUUUGUUGCCAGCGGUCCGGCCGGGAACUCAAAGGAGACUGCCAGUGAUAAACUGGAGGAAGGUGGGGAUGACGUCAAGUCAUCAUGGCCCUUACGACCAGGGCUACACACGUGCUACAAUGGCAUAUACAAAGAGAAGCGACCUCGCGAGAGCAAGCGGACCUCAUAAAGUAUGUCGUAGUCCGGAUUGGAGUCUGCAACUCGACUCCAUGAAGUCGGAAUCGCUAGUAAUCGUAGAUCAGAAUGCUACGGUGAAUACGUUCCCGGGCCUUGUACACACCGCCCGUCACACCAUGGGAGUGGGUUGCAAAAGAAGUAGGUAGCUUAACCUUCGGGAGGGCGCUUACCACUUUGUGAUUCAUGACUGGGGUGAAGUCGUAACAAGGUAACCGUAGGGGAACCUGCGGUUGGAUCACCUCCUUA